CCCCUGCCUACAGCUCCCGCAGAGCAGCGCGCCACCUGCUCGGGCCCGGCCAGGGAAGGCGGCAGCAAGGCACGCCGGGAGCUGUAGUUCGUUAGGGAGGGGAGCGGCACCGCCCCCGAGGUUCUCCGUGGGUGGGCAGCACAGCCGGCCUGCCAGCGCCCCACGCCUCACAGUGCCGGGCUUAGAACACCUCAAAAGUCUCGUCUGCAUCGUAUGGUUUGUCCUGGGCGCUGCUUACAGCGGAGCUCCUGGCUCAGGUGCCCCGCCGCCUCUUCCAGCCCCCCUCGCCCACGUCUGCCCCGGGGCUGCCGCCAGCUCGCUCCCCUUCCGCCCCUGCCACCGCCGCACGGAUGCGGCUGUCACAUAGAGCUGUGCUUUCCGAGCCAGCUCGCCAGAUUCACUCCGUAAGGGGAUUUUCAAAGUUUUCUGAACUGCUGCCCGGUUAACCAGUCUGUUUUCAACGGCUUUGCUUUCAGUCCAGUUUUUAUGGGGGUAUUGGUCAUACAGAGCCGGACAGGGAGGUUUGCUGGGGACUGGCGUCACACAGCGUUAUCUUCCGCCACCCCUUUGGAAAAGACUAGAGUGAAAGCUAGGAGCCAAAUCAGUUCAGUAUCUGGGAGCACGCCUGAGAAGGCUUACUAUCAACCUAUGAACUGAAGUCAGAUUAAGGUAACUGCAAGAAAGUUAACACACAAACGUCAGAUUGGAUUACUUGGAGCAUUUGACGACCGCUUGGACGGGCAGUUGUGCUGCUCUGCACAGCCACCCUCGUGUUGUGCCUCCAGCACAAGACACAUAUCCCUCCGCACCAGUCUAAUGUGACAAUCGCUACCCAUGUCUUGCAAGAGAGCAAUUAGCAGUAUUUAAUUCCCUAGACAGAAGAAUCAAGAUCUGCAGUUUUCUCGGAUCCUGGUGUGUCUUUGAGUGCCUCCUCCUCCCCCAUGCUCUCCUUCUUAUACCAGACUUUGUAAGCAGUGUCACUUCAGCAAGAAAUUAUAUUUUCUGUGCUUAAUUGGAGGUUGCAAUAGAAAAUAGGAUUUAAUAAGGCCAUAGAAAAGACAAGGUGCCAGUGCAUCCCCUUACUCCCCUUUAUCGGCUGAAAGUGCAAAGCUGGAAAGAGCCAAAUCACUGUAUCAAAUUUUCUCGUUCUAGAGUAGCAGCAGCAAUACUGUGUCAAAACUGCAGAAGAGCUUCAAGUUUGAACAACAAAGGGGAAGUUAUUCCCCACUCGUUCAUCCCUCUGCAUAUCUGUGUAGACUGUCAGAAGCAAGGUUGUGUAGGAGUGGAUCCCUUACCACCUUUUAGCGCAGCCUUUCAGGAGAAUGGCAAGACUGGAAGUGCAGAUGUGAAGGCAACCUGUUGCUUCCUAUAACUUUUCAUCUUGAUAGCCAGCAAUAAAUAAGCAGCAACUUACCAGCCUCCUUCUUCACCUCAGCAGAGGCAGCUGGGCCAGCAGUUAUAGUGCAGUACAGCGAGAAUGCUGUGAGAGGGGCCAGCCAAUUAUCUAUCACUUCCAUAUCUGUGGCAAGCAGUACAGCCCAGGCACGAGUGCAGAAUGAGCUUUUUAACAGGGGAGAAUCAUCAGGCAACUUCAGCUCUCCUUAUUGGCUUUUGGAUCACCAAGAAGAAGUACUAAGUAUUCCAGAUGAAGAAAGAAAUUAUCUGUUUACACCUGCAAUUUCAGGAUAUGUAGAAUAUUGUGAGUAGGAAGCGAUCCAUAUGGAUCAUUAAGUCCAACUCCUGGCCCUGUGCAGGAAAACUUCCAGAAUCACAUCACACAUAUCAGGGUCUGCUUUUGCGAUUCUCGUUGGCAUUAGCUGAUUCCGCUGCCUGUAUUUCUGUUCCUGUUAUUGACCUAAUUCUAAGUACAUGAAAUAUGAUUAUUUCAGGCAGAUGACCAUUUUUUACAAGCAUCUUUGUCCUUUGUAUAGGAAGGUAAAAAAUGAGAAUAUGAUUCUUGUGUUCUAGCAGUAAUGUUCUUAGAUCUGUGAGCACCUAACUAGGUGAAACAAAGUUUGUAUCUGAGCGGAUGCGCUCUUAUCGCAUCAUCUAAUUAGCUUAGUGAAAAGCAAGCAGGCUUUCAAGAACACCAAUAUUCUUCAUGUCCUGUCUACUUAUAUCAGCUAGUUUAGCUAAAUAGAGAUGUCACUUACAUACAUCAAACCAGCCUUGUUUGUAACAAGCUAGCAUUAUAAUGAAACUCUUCAAUAAAUGUUUAUAAAAUAGAUGCACUUGGUUUUAUGUGGGUAACUAAAACAUGAAUAGAGUUCUCCAUUAUAUACCAUUUUAGAAUAUACAGAGAAAUUUUCAUAGGGUAUUUUCAGGUCCUUGUUUAUUGUUACUGUUUAAGACUAAGGAUCUGGUGAUACUGGGGCCAAAGGGUCAUGAUCUCAUCACAUGCAUGUUCUGCUACACAAGAGAACACAUGUAUGUAGGCUGCAUUGUAUUUAGACAAACUCUUAGAGACAGAAGAACAAUCACACAACUUUUAUGGUGAGCUGAGCACACUUGAUCAUAGUAAAAUAAUGUUACUUUACAGAACCGUUCCUCAAAGCAGAGCUAUGUUUCAGUAUGGUUGAAAAAAGUGUGACUUUAAACAACACAGGCUUGUAAGGUGAAAUGAAAUAUUAAUAUGCAACUAUAUGAAAGACUCCAUGGUGUUAUAUUAUAAAAAACAAGAAGAGAAACUUUUGUUCAGUUCUAAUUUAAAAUAUUUAUUAUUCUCAAAGUGUUCUUAUGAGGAUGAUCUUGUUUCAGUACUGGCAGAAAAAGGUGUGUUAGUGAAAACAGUCAGUUUGAAAUGCCAGAAAAUAACAAAUUACUCUACUGUAGAUUAGACUGCUGUUUUAACAUGUCAUUAUUUGACUAUUAAAAUUAAAUUUGGAGGGAAGGUAAAAUCCUAUAUAUACUCCUAAGUGAUGUCUCUAUAGUACUAUCUAUCAAAUAUGGCUGUUUUUCCUUUAAUUUAAACCAUUAUCCUAUGUUCCACACAGCGAAGUAGUGUCACUCACUCCCUCUAAAGUUUCCCAUGUGGCCAAGUAAUUUAAGUAUGCCAUCACCAGAGCAACUCUGCAGCUAAAAAUAUACUGCUAUUAAAUCCAGAGAGAAUAGAUCACUAAUUGCAGCUUAAUAUUGGAGAUGGACGUGAAAUACUGAGCUAGCCAUCACAGAAUGCACUAGUAACCCAAACUUGUGUUAUAAUUGAAAAGACAACUGUUUAUAUCUUCAUGAAUGACUCUUAUAAUUACAAUAGCUAAGAACUUGCUAAAGCUAAUUAAGAUAUGGACUGCUACUUCCAUUGCAGACUUCCAUUGCUUAAUUAUUAUUUAUCUAAGAAAGAAGUGUUUUUCCUAAAACCUACCCUUCCUUGUGUGGAAUGUCGCACUGGGUAUGUUUCCCUGUAUGAAAGUUGAACCAACAGAACAUGUGACAAGAUACAGCAUGUGUGGAACUUCACAGGAGGUGGUUCCUUCUCCCUGAAGGAUUGCAAUAUAAAUGAAGGAUUACAUAAGCAACACGUUCUCAAGCUGGCUGUUCCAUGAGAGCCAUUGCCAAGGAAGAAGAACAUAGGGUAUCACCUACUAGGUCUCUACCAUCUCCCCAGGAGUGUGAGUCAGUGAUGAGGAAGGUGUAUGCAUGUAGCAGGUUUUUGGUUUAACUGCAGAAAUUCAUAUUUUGGAGUCCUUUGCAUCUCUUUCCAGCUGCAGUUUCCAGAAUAGGCUGACAUUUUAUAACCAACAUCCACUUCAAGUGGUAGUCACUUAGGUAAGGCAGUUUAUUUUCUGUAACAUCACUUGCAGAAUUAUUGCCUCUUGAAGUAGAACUAUUUAUUGAAUUGAUUUAGAACAACUGUUUUUAUUACAUCUUUAGGCUUCAUCUUAUUAAUUUUAUGUAUAACCUUUCUUUUAGCUGAAUUGCAUGUAGUUUAGGGUAUGUUCUGAAUCCCCCACUGACCUCCCCUUUCCCUCUUUUCUUACUAAUUCUGUAUCUUCAUUCUCAGUGUAAACUUCUUGAAUUGGAAAAAAGUAAAAGAGAAGAAGGAAUAUUGUAUAUGAAAUCCUUUUAGCAAAAUAAGGAGAGUAACAUGAUUUCUCAAACCCAAAAUAAGUUGAAACAAAAGGACCUGGUUAUUAUUGAAAUGUAACUCUUUCUUUCAGUAGCUAGAUCAGUCCUGUGGGGUUUUGUUUGCUGUGACCUUAGAUUUCUUCACAUAACCGCAUUCUUGAAAUAUUUUGAUUUUUGUAUGCUGGUUCUCAAUAAGUAUC